AGAAAGAGAGAGAGAGAGAGAGAGCGCGAGCUCUGAAACAAACUACUCAUUUUGGGAGCAAAGGAGUUUCCACUGAUGUUUAUUCCACUUUGAGAUGGGUUUUCUGUUAUUUGCAGUUAGGACUCCCAGCUGAUUGUGGUAGUUGUUUUUUUUUUAAUGUUAUUUAAUUUAUUUAUUUGAUAUUUGGAGGGGGGAGGUAAUUAGGUUUAUUUAUUUAUUUUUAGAAGCGGUACUGGGGAUUGAACCCAGGACCUCAUGCAUGCUAAGCACGCUCGCUACCACUUGAGCAAUACCCUCCCCUCCUUGAUUGUGGUAGUUUAAAACUAUGUCCUUUGCUACUCCUCCCUUCAUCAGGUGGCAUUUAAGUCCCCUUUCCUUGAGUGUGUGCUGGAUUAGUGACGUCCUUCUAGAAAAUAGAUUCAAGUGUGUGAUUCUAAGACAAGGUGAGAAAAGGCAUUGAUUUCCUCCUGUUGUCCCCUCCCCCACUCCUCCAUCUAUGUCUCUGUCUCUGUCUCUCUUUCUCUGUUGGGUGGAUCACUUGCUCUGGGGAAGCCAGCUGCCAUGUCAGGAGGACACUCAAGCAGCCUAUGGAGGGCCCACAUGGUGAGGGACAGAGGCCUCCAACCAACAGCCCCUGAGAAGUUGAAGCCUUUUCCCAACAAAAACAUGAAAGACUUGGAGGGCUGCAGCAGAAGCCGACGCCAUGACCUGCUGACGGCUGGGUGUGAGCUCAAAUAUGUAUGUUUACAUGGACUUGCAGAGCCGUCUGAAUCCUCUGUGGAACGGCAGUGGGUUACCCUGGAGUGAUCUUAUUCUUCUGUCCAUAUUCAGCUGUAAAAUCAUAAAUGGGAAAGAGCCAAUGGACACACUGUUGUCUGUUCUUCAAGCCAGCAGUCUAUAUUGCAACCCAAUGACAGUAACGCUUUAUUGUCCCUUGCGUGCCAAACAUUAUAGAAAUAUUUCUUCUGGUCCAAACAACAGCCUUGUAAGGGCAUUAUCUUCCUUUCCAUUUUACAGUUAGGUCAAGUGAGAGACUGACUAACUUGUCCCACAGCCAUAUAGCUAGUAAACUGCAGAGCUGGGAUUCAAAUCCAGUCUGGAUCCAAAGCUCACACUCUUUCCUUACCAAAUGGGGCCUUUCAACAAUGAUUCCUUCGUGUCAUAUGAGAAGACCGAAAAAAAAAAAAGUACCUUUGUUUGACGGCACUAAAGACUGCUAGCUCCUUGGCAGCAAGUCUCCAUUCAAACAAACCAGAUAGAAACCUCUGCAUUGAGGAGAUGCUCCCCCACCGCCAGCGCUGACUGGAGUGAAGGCUACAGUGCUUAGAAGCGGCGCCCUGAAUCAGCCAGCUGGGCCUCAUCCAGGGGAGCAGACAACAGACUUUCUGAGAGGAAGCAGGGGGGCAAAUGGUGCUACAGCGUCAGGAUCGAUUGCCGACCCCAGGUGCUGCAUUUUUUAAGGAGACCCCAGCACUGCCCCUGCCUGCCUCUCAACAGUUAUUAUUCUGGAGCUUGAGGGGAGACUUUCUACCUUAGCUCCCAGAAGAUCUGCCGUCCCUGACCUUGGCCAUCACUUCAGUUUGCAGUUUAGUUACAAGGGCCCAGACAUUCACAAAACCUCAGUAAAGAGAAUAACAUGAGAGACAUUACAAUACAGGAAUACAGGAGCCAGAUGGGGAGCAGAGCCUGACACAAGGAUGUGAGAACAGGUCACAGGAGGAAGACUCUGAAAACCAGGAGGAGCUCUCACUGGGAACCUAAAUGGCAGACACGUUGACUUUGGACUUCCCAGCCUCCAGAACCACGAGAGAGGAACUUGUGGUUUAAGCCUCCCAGUCUGCCGUGCUUUGCUAUGGCAGCCCAAGCUGAUUAAAACAGUCACCUUCUGGCAGUCUUGGAGCAGGGGCUUUUCUGGCGGGAGUUACUUCCCCACAUUCUGGCCUGCCUAGCAAGUGGAUGCAGCAGGCUUCUCCAGGCUUGGAGAAGAUUCUCAGUCAAAGACACGCCACUACCAGCAGUUGGAAGUCCACCCACGAACACUGAAGGUAAAGCCAGAGGCACAUGGGUGAGAAUUACCAGCAUCUUCCAGGAGGAUGGAGGGAUGCGGAAGUCAUCCUAUUUCAGGGAGGAUGUGGUGCUUCAGUUGAGCCGUAGAGACGUAGAAUGUCUACAGGUACAGGCAGGAAAAAGCCAUCCCAAACACGGGAAUAGCUGGAGCACACACCAAGAAAAGGCAAAGUUCAGGAUGCUUUAGAUAACGAAUACAAUUGGUAUCGCUCUAUUUUAUUUGUUUUUCCCCCUUGACAUUAUUUCAUUCUUAUUUUUAUUGCUGCCUACUACUUCAUUGUGUUAACUCUUUGCUUACUCAAUCCCCUAUAUUUAAAUUGUUUUAAACUUUACGGUAAGGAAUAUUCAUCUCAUGAAUAAAAAUGUCUUCCACAAAUACAAAGACAGAUAUAAUAUCUGCCCUUAUGGAGUAGACAUUGUAUUUUAUUUUAGUUUAAAUUUUGGAGUUGACAUUUUAGCAAGAGACUCUGUUGAAACACAGAUGGAUCAGACAGGCAACGGUAGUUCAAAAAGCCUCCACCCUCGGGGAGUCCUCACGUGCAGGGCACUGACUUCUUUACACUUAAAACCCCUAUAACUAUCGUACCACUUAGUAAAUACUGGGUGGCACUGAUUAAGUUAAUGAGA